CAUACAAAUGACUUCUUAUAGAGAACCACUGAAUGGAAUGAAACCAAACAUAGCAUGAAUGUUCCUUAUGAGGUGCUGACCAAGUUUUGUUGCUUUUUAGCCGAUCCAUCAUCCAAGAUGGCCGCCAACGGGGGACUUAGUUUAACAUAGGACCCUAUGGAAAAUACAUACAAGUUUCUUCUUUUAGAGAACCAUUGAAUUGAAUGAAACCAAACAUGUUUGUUCCUUUCCUUUUGAGGUGCUGGCCAAGUGUUGUUACUUUGUAGUCAAAUUUUAUCUUUUUUUAUAUAAUUUCAAAAACCCAAGAAAAGUCAGGUGA
rnacentral:lncRNA from 1 species